AGAGGAAACAACAUCAGUGACUCCAUCUGAAACUUCAUUUCCACUUAGGAUAUCACUGAUCGUUGUAACUGUGGCUUUAGCAGCUCUCAUUAUAACUGUUGUAGCAGUCGUCAGGAGGAAGAGAACCAAAGGAAACAGAACACAGACGGGUAAAAACACUGAGCUGAGCGUAAACCCUGAUGUGAUUCAACCUGGUCGAGAAACCGGUCGUCAACAGGCUGAUGUUGCAGAUGAUGUUUACUACACCUCCAUCAGAUACAUCAAGAACACAAACAGUAAAGCCAGGGUUCGGGGUAAAUCUAAUGAGGGUAAUGCAGUGACUUACAGCACCGUCAAAGCUCCGCCCACUUUAGCCGGAGCCUCCACUGAUCCCCAAAGCCUCUACUCCACCAUCACAUCACCACACAUCUAAGAAGACACUGUUGCCAUAUUAGAAUCAGCCAUUUUUAACAGUGUUGCAUUGUGCUGCAAUUGCUGUGUAAUUUUAUCCCUCUAGAGGGUGUAGUGGAGCAAGUAUCACACUGUGAAAAGUAGCUGUAAGUAAAUCAUUUGGCCUCUUGCAGUGUGCAAAGUAUAAAAGAAAAAAGUUAAAUAUUUAUUUUCAGGGAUGAAAGGUGAAAUUGAAUGUUUUUGCAUUGUUGCUUUUUCUAAUGAUUAAGUUCUGUUUAAGCAAAUGUCUGUUAAGAUUGGACAAGAGUAGAGGAUAUAUAUACAAUAUUUGAACUGGAUGUGGCUGUUGAGGUGAAUUUAUCAAUAAGUGGGAAAAAUGAAAACAGACACAUUUUGGGUUUUGAUUUUCUUCUUAUUAUUAUUGUUAUUAAAUAUUAUUAUUAUUAUUAUUAUUAUUAUUGUUGUUGUUGUUAUUAGUAAUAGUAGUAGUAGUAGUAGUAGUUGGGACAGUGCACAUUAAUGAACUUUGAUACGUUAGUCAUCACUGUAAAUGCUCUGGACUUAGCACAAAUGCUAAUUUUCAGCCAUAGCCCAAGGCAGAUACACAAGACAUACCCAGACGACUGUAAAACAACAAUCAUACAACAGACAACUACAGAACCAGACACCGAUAGACAAUACAUCGAAACAGACAACAUUAAGACAAAACAUUUGACCCACAAUUCUACAAAACAUUUAAGACCAAGAACCCUGAGAGUAUGCAUCCGAUUAAUAAAACUAUUUGGGCUAUGUGAGUAAAUAAUGUGAUUUAUUGUUAACCAAUGUUUUUAAAGUAAGUAUUUGUUGCAGUUUCUGAUGUAACUGUGUUUCUCUUACAGAUGAGACCAUCUGGGAGAAUUUAGUCCUGUACCUCUAUACACUACAGUCACCUCUAGUCAGAGCUCUCAUUACUCGUCCUUGAGUGUUUUUUCUCUGGAUGAAUUCAUUCAGUGGUGGUGGAGGCAAAACUUUAAAAAUGAGACAGACAUCAUAAAGAUUUGGUAGCUGUCUGGAUCAUAUGUUUUUUUUGGGACG